GUUGGGCACAGUGGUGCAUGCCUGUAAUCCCAGCAGCUUAGGAGGCUGAGACAGGAGGACCAGGAGUUCAAAGCCAGUCUCAGCAAUGACAAGGUGCUAAGCAACUCAGUGAGACUCUGUCUCUA
rnacentral:sRNA from 1 species